rnacentral:rRNA from 1 species
UCUUGGUCCAAUUAGAGGAAGUAAAAGUCGUAACAAGGUCUCCGUUGGUGAACCAGCGGAGGGAUCAUUACUGAGUUUACGCUCUAUAACCCUUUGUGAACAUACCUAUAACUGUUGCUUCGGCGGGUAGGGUCUCCGCGACCCUCCCGGCCUCCCGCCUCCGGGCGGGUCGGCGCCCGCCGGAGGAUAACCAAACUCUGAUUUAACGACGUUUCUUCUGAGUGGUACAAGCAAAUAAUCAAAACUUUUAACAACGGAUCUCUUGGUUCUGGCAUCGAUGAAGAACGCAGCGAAAUGCGAUAAGUAAUGUGAAUUGCAGAAUUCAGUGAAUCAUCGAAUCUUUGAACGCACAUUGCGCCCGCCAGCAUUCUGGCGGGCAUGCCUGUUCGAGCGUCAUUUCAACCCUCAAGCUCUGCUUGGUGUUGGGGCCCUACAGCUGAUGUAGGCCCUCAAAGGUAGUGGCGGACCCUCCCGGAGCCUCCUUUGCGUAGUAACUUUACGUCUCGCACUGGGAUCCGGAGGGACUCUUGCCGUAAAACCCCCCAAUUUUCCAAAGGUUGACCUCGGAUCAGGUAGGAAUACCCGCUGAACUUAAGCAUAUCAAUAAGCGGAGGAA